rnacentral:misc_RNA from 1 species
AAUGGGAAGCCCGUGAGAGGA